AACGAACGCUGGCGGCGCGCCUAAUACAUGCAAGUCGAGCGAGAAGACGUAGCAAUACGUUUGUAAAGCGGCGAACGGGUGAGGAAUACAUGGGUAACCUACCCUCGAGUGGGGAAUAACCAGCCGAAAGGUUAGCUAAUACCGCGUACGCUCCUUGGACUUCGGUUCAGGGAGGAAAGCGAUACCGUGGGUAUCGCGCUCUUGGAUGGGCUCAUGUCCUAUCAGCUUGUUGGUGAGGUAACGGCUCACCAAGGCUUCGACGGGUAGCUGGUCUGAGAGGACGAUCAGCCACACUGGCACUGCGACACGGGCCAGACUCCUACGGGAGGCAGCAGUAAGGAAUAUUGCGCAAUGGGCGAAAGCCUGACGCAGCGACGCCGCGUGGGGGA
rnacentral:rRNA from 1 species